UACUAUUAUUUAUUAAUAGUGGCAGCGUGGAACCAAGGUCUACAGUGGCUGCUGAGGUCAGACUUGAAGAAAUGACUCACAUGCAAGGCUGAUCUACAUAAGUAGCCUGUGCUAAGACUGCCAUCUGGUAGAACAAUCUACAUCACACGACUCCACGUUUCCUGUUACCCAAGCAUCUCCAUGCUCUGCAGGUGCAGCUUCGAUGGACCAUGGCCAUAUUGCCCCACUACUAUCAAUCACACUGAGAUGUAGUCCACAGCAUUCAACAAGCCACCACUCAUGGGAUAGAGGAUAGGCAAAAGGAACAACUAAGACAGUAGAGGAGCCCAGCACUCCGAACCCCUAAUCAUGCCUUCGGUGGAUUCCUUUGGUAAAGUUUUCCUUUGUGGGUUUCUUUCAGCACUUGACCCAUAGCCCAUGGAAUGUGUCAGCUCUAAUUGCCUGUGUGGAUUGGCACAAGUCGUGCCUCAAAAUUGGAAUGUUGUCACAUAUAACAUAGCCUUUCAGAGGGAUAAAUGUGGAAAAUGUUUUACCCAUGAAUUCCUUAGAAGCA
rnacentral:lncRNA from 1 species